AAUGACAGUGGGAGCAGCUCAGCAAAUUCUUUGAUGACCAAUGUGCUUCCAACAGGGAACAUCUAUCCCUCGAGGGUAAUUGGCAAGAUCCAGACGGUGGCACUGAUGAGCUUGCUUCUGACCCAUCACAAAUGAUAUGGGCUAGUCCAAUUAGAUUUUGACCGGGCUCAGCCUCAUAUUUUAAAAGAUUCUAGGGCUUAGGUCUGGCUUCGAGCCAAACUCAGGC
rnacentral:lncRNA from 1 species